UGUGCUUUUAUGCGCGAAGCCUGGGUCGCAGUGACCCGGGAGAGGAAGGAGGCUGCGUGGGCGUGGGUGCUCGGGGUGGGGUCCUGGCCUCCGCCCAUUUACUUAUAAGUUUUAUUUGCUUGUUCCCCACUCCCCUCUCGGACCUGCGGGGGCCCCUACCUUCCCACCACACACCCUCUGACCCCCCAAGAGCCUCUCCCCAAGAUCUGUCCUCAGGAAUCUAGGCCUGGCAAGUUGGUCCGGACACCUGCUGAGUGACCUACCCACCACCCGCUGUGCGUCCUGGCUGCCUCUGUCACCACGGCUCACCCAGGUGUGGUGAGUUCCUGGUUGGCAAGGCGGUGGCCAAACACCCUGUCCCCCUGUCUUUCUUCUCCACAGGACCUUGAAGGCACCCAUUUAUUAAUCCAGGGUACAGGGCCACACCUCAGCUUGGAUCGUGGCAGGGUGGCCCAGUGGGUCUGUCCCCUUCCUACUCACUGCAGACUCAGGAGUCGCACCUGUGCCCAGUCAGCUCGGCGCAGGAUUCUGCUCCUGGGACCGUGAGUUCAAAGCCAGCCUCAGCAACUUAGCGAGGCCCUAAGCAACUCAGCCAGACCCUGUCUCUAAGUAAAAUACAAAAAGGGCUGGGGAGGUGGCUCAGGGGUCAAGUGCCCCUGGGUUCAGUCCCUGGUACCAAAAAUAAAUAAAUAAAUUUUAAAAAUCU
rnacentral:lncRNA from 1 species